rnacentral:rRNA from 1 species
UACGUAGGGGCCUAGCGUUGUCCGGAUUUAUUGGGCGUAAAGAGCUCGUAGGCGGCACGGUUAGUCAGGUGUGAAAUCUCCACGCUCAACGUGGAGGGGUCACCUGAUACUGCCGAGCUUGAGUCCGGUAGGGGAGUGUGGAAUUCCCGGUGUAGCGGUGAAAUGCGCAGAUAUCAGGAAGAACACCCGUGGCGAAAGCGGCUCUCUGGAACGGUACUGACGCUGAGACGCGAAAGCGUGGGGAGCGAACAGG